rnacentral:rRNA from 1 species
GACGAACGCUGGCGGCGUGCCUAAUACAUGCAAGUCGAGCGCUGAAGGCUGGUACUUGUACCAACUGGAUGAGCAGCGCACGGGUGAGUAACGCGUGGGGCCUCUGCUUUUGAGCGGGGGACAACAUUUGGAAACGAAUGCUAAUACCGCAUAAACACUUGAAACACAAGUUUUAAGUUUGAAAGAUGCAAUUGCAUCACUCAAAGAUGAUCUCGCGUUGUAUUAGCUAGUUGGUGAGGUAAAGGCUCACCAAGGCGAGGACACAUAGCCGACCUGAGAGGACGAGCAGCCACAUUGGGAGGGAGACACGCCCCAAACGCCUACGGGAGGCAGCAGGAGGGAAACGGCGGCAAGGGGCGGAAGACUGACCGAGAAACGCCGCGGGAGGGAAGAAGGAUGUCGGGUCGGGAAUGUCGGUUGGUAGAGAAGAAAGUUGGUGAGAGUGGAAAGCUCAGCAAGUGACGGUAACUACCCAGAAAGGGACGGCUAACUACGUG